GCACCAGUUGAGUAGUAGUUAACUCAUUUCCCUCCCACUCUACACUUAGCAAGGAAGGAAAGGACCCGGGUGCAAAUCCCGGCUGGUGCA